rnacentral:ribozyme from 1 species
GUCUUCAGAAGAUGACAAGCCUGUGGGGCGUAAGUAAUAAGUCAUCAAUAACCGACAUUAUUGAGUUAUCGGCUGUCUGUCGGGACAGUGCUUAUUAUGAUCGUGCAGACGUUAAAAUCAGGU